GUUUCACUAGCUCAGUUGGUAAAGCGGCGGGCUGGUAUCCCGAAGUCGCGAGUUCGAAUCUCGCGCGAGACA